GACGUAGGGCGCGAGCGUUGUCCGGAUUUAUUGGGCGUAAAAAGCUCGUAGGCGGCUUGUCGCGUCGAAUGUGAAAUCUCAGGGCUCAACUCUGACAUUGCAUUCGAUACGGGCAUCACUUGAGUUCGGCAGGGGAGACUGGAAUUCCUGGUGUAGCGGUGAAAUGCGCAGAUAUCAGGAGGAACACCAAUGGCGAAGGCAGAUCUCUGGGCCGUAACUGACGCUGGAGGAGCGGAAAGCAUGGGGAGCGAACAGGA
rnacentral:rRNA from 1 species